rnacentral:misc_RNA from 2 species
UUCCUGAUUUUCCCAUCGUUCGGGGCAUUCUGGGGCUGUUUUGGCUAUUGGUUGCUUGUUUGGUCUUGAGCUGAACGGGUGGCUUCUAGUCCGGUGGCUUCGGGGAUGUUUUCCGUAAAGGUGGAUGAGUGGUGUUUGGUUUGUUACGUGUGGUUGGCUGCGGCGUUUGCAACAACUUCCAUGCUUUCAGACCUCUUCAGUUGUGCGGCAAGGCUUGUAUCGCCUUGAGCGUAAUGUGGGUUUUCUGUGCUGGCUACCUAAUCAACGGUAUCGGUUGGAUUGAUCAAAGUUUGAUUUCGUCUUCCGUCGCAUUCGUGGCGUGAGGCGAACCUCGACGCGGUCUCUUUGAUCCACCUCGUUGAAGCACGUGCUUCGACGUUGUGGCACAUUGAGCAUUGCUUGGUCUCUUGUAUACGGAACAUAUAGUGGGCAUGGAUCUAACGAUCCUCGUUUGCCCUCAUAUUAGCGUAACGCUUCUCUAACACGACUUGCGCCAUGUUUUAG